rnacentral:lncRNA from 1 species
GAUUUUUUUUUAAUUGGAAGGGAAUUCUCUCCACAACACAAAGUUCCUAGCUCUGUUAUUUCUGAUGCCUUUGGCAACCUCAGUUCCCAGGAGAUGUGAUUUUCCAGUAUGUCCUUUCCUUGGUGCCUUGGCAUCCUCUGAUGAGCAGCUCCAAGUAGAUCCUUCCCCUGACCUUAGGGAGAGGACUUUCACAGGCACCCAAAGUCAUUUUACUAUGAGCCUUAUCUUCCUCCUAUUCUUUUUAUUAUUGGUAUGAUAUGAUAUGGUCCUGUUUCCCACCCCCACACACUCCCCAAACCCUAUACCCCGCUAAGAGUCCAGACAGAUUACAAAUUCUUUUCUGCUGGUUCACAGAACUUUAGAGGGAUGCAUCAGAAUGGGAACUCUGGAGAGGGAAAACCUUGGAAAUGA